AGCAGCCGCGGUAAUUCCAGCUCCAAUAGCGUAUAUUAAAGUUGCUGCAGUUAAAAAGCUCGUAGUUGAAUUUCGGGAUCGAUAUAUCGGUCGUGCCUCGGUACGUACUGGUAUUUUCGGUUUCUCCCUUCUGACGAACCUUGAUGUCAUUAAUUUGGUGUCUUGGGGAAUCAGGACUGUUACUUUGAAAAAAUUAGAGUGUUUAAAGCAGGCUCACGCUUGAAUACAUUAGCAUGGAAUAAUGAAAUAGGACGUUUGAUUCUAUUUUGUUGGUUUCUAGGAUCGACGUAAUGAUUAAUAGGGAUAGUUGGGGGCAUUAGUAUUCAAUUGUCAGAGGUGAAAUUCUUGGAUUUAUUGAAGACUAACUACUGCGAAAGCAUUUGCCAAGGAUGUUUUCAUUAAUCAAGAACGAAAGUUGGGGGCUCGAAGACGAUCAGAUACCGUCCUAGUCUCAACCAUAAACGAUGCCGACCAGGGAUCGGCGGAUGUUGCUUAUAGGACUCCGCCGGCACCUUAUGGG
rnacentral:rRNA from 1 species